GUGGCCGUGGUGUAACCUGGCAGCACUGGAGACUGUGGAUCUCCUAGACCGAGUUCAAAUCUCGGCGGCCACCCCA
rnacentral:tRNA from 1 species